GCCCCCCGCGGGACUCGGGGCUGCGGGAGGAGGAGGAGCCCGAGCCCCCGCCGCGUUGGUCCCGCCGGGCUGCCCCCACAUCGUCUGCCGGAGACGGGGAGCCCCGGUGUGAGGGGGACGAGGGGACAGCCAGGGCGGGGUGCCCAGGAGGCUUUCGGACAUCCCCGAGGAGGAGAACCCCCCCGGAUCCAGCCUCUCUGGCUCCUGUGCCAGCACAGCAAUGCUGCUUGAUGGGCAGGGGGAACUCCUGGACGCCGGGUUGUACCCGUGCCUCUGAGCCUGGCCACGUCUUCCUGCAGCUAUUUAUGGCCGUGGGUGAGAAGCCCUAAGUCCCCUCUGCUCCAUGCUGAGCAGCCCCAGUUCUGUCAGCCUUUCUUUACAGCCAUCUCAGUGGCCACCACCCUCCAGGAUGCCCAGGUCUCUCUUGUACCGGGGAUGCAGAUCUGGACAAAGUACACAAUACAAAGAAAACCCUAUUGAUAGCUCCUACCCAGCUAAAGCACGGUGCUGAUGGGCUCCUUGGAUCCACAACAAGAGACAGCUCUCCCCCCACACCUCAGAGUUAACAGGCACAGCUGGUAACAUUAGCCCAGCUGACUACCUGUAACUGCCAGGUGACAGCCAGCACUCCCUCCUGCCCGUUACUUUUUAUCAGGGCAUCUCACACAGCUGUGAAGCCCGAUUUCCACAAGGAAGGUCUGCCCACACACAGAUCAAAAGACGUUAGCUUAACCUGAACGGUUGUACUGAACAGUUUCCUUCUGGCUCUGCUUUUCCCUUGCUACACUGGCAGAGCCUGUUUCAAUUAUAACUAGUUUAUCAGAAAGCACCUUCCACUGCUUUGACUUUUUCUUCUAUCAGAAGGACACAUCCCUGUGGGAAUGCCUGCUGUGUUUUACAGUCUUGUAGCAAUCCUUGGAUCUUGGCACCAUGAGAGCAGCCCCAAGCCUCCUAUGGAAGAUGCUUCACAGAGCAGUUGGCCUGGUGUCAUGCAUUGGGGCUGGGGAUGCAGCUACCACAGCUGCACUGCAGAACCCCUGCCUCCAAACCCAACACGUUGCUCUUUCCUAGGACCUGCAGCAAUCUUUCUCCAUCAUUCUGAGGCAGCAUAGUUGGAAGUGACUGAAAUUCCUUUGUGCAUCAUGAGUAAACUGCAAGGAACUGUUGUAGUUGAACCUGAAUGUUUCAAACUGGAGGUAGCAGAGCUGGGAGCUGAUCAGAGGCUUCAUCAGCCCCAGGUGCCACGGACAUCCUCACACCUCUGUCCACCUCCACAGGAGGAAAUCCAUCACACAACAUGCAGCCUUUACCGAACACCUUCUCUUUACUCAGCUCAGAGUCCUCCAAAAGAGCUUACCCUGAUAGGGGUGAACAGAGCAUGGACUCCUCUCGUGCUGCCCAUUUGGACACAACUGACACAAUCACUACCUGAUAGCUGUUGACUGACAACAGGCCUCAAACAAAUGCACAGAGAUGGGUAAAAAAGAAGGUCUGGUGAUGGAAAACCAAAUAAGCCUGUCAGUGGGAAUGCAGGGAACUCUAUUUUAGUAGUUAUUGGUAAACAGAGGGUAAAGGGGAGCAAUUCAACUCUACUGAGUCAUCAGUAGAAGGGUGACAAUGCCCCCUAUCUUCUCUUUAUGGGCUCUGUCAGGAUAUCAGUCACGGCCCCAUGGCUGUAAGCAGUUUAUAUCCCAAGCAACCUGGAUUUGCUUGAUGAAAGAUUUUCCUUUGCUAUUAGAUGGCAUGACAUAGUCUAUAAAGAAAUAAUGAAGAGACACAAAAAGAGUUAAAGCUAUAGGCACAGAUAUGAAUUAAUCUACACAGCCAGCUGAGCAGAGAUGCCACUUGAUGCUAAUGGAACAUUCUGGAACAGCUUUAGCAAUAGGAGAAGGACAAGCAGUAAAAAUCCUAGUCCGAUUGCAUGUUGGAUGGUUUCAUCUCUGUUAGCCAAAUAAAAUAACAAAAUAAAACAGUUUUGUUUGGGAAGGGAGAGAUACCAUCCAUGCCCUAAAAGCUACCACAGCUUGAUCAGAAAACAGAUGUUCUGCAAGACAUCAAGAAUCACGUGCAUCUAUGCCCAUAUAGAUACAUGCACCUAGCUUGUUGGACAGGAAAUGUUUUCUUCUCAGUGCUCUCUUAGAUUUACUUCCUGACUUCUACUUGCAAAGCAAAAGGAAAAACAAACAAACAAACCUAAUAAGACACUAUGGACAUGUAGAGCAAAAUUCCAAGAUGAAUGCAGCUCCUCCAUACAAUGAAAAAUGGCCAUUUCUAAAACCACAGCUUCACACUAACAGAUAUGGACUAGGUAUGAAAAGGUUAAUAACAUUCUAUUGAGAGUAUUGUUAAAGCAUGAAGAGACAGACAGCAUUUCCUGGCUGUCAUUUCCAGCCUUAUGAUUGAAUUACUUGCUUUAGAGCUACAGCCAUUAGCAAAGAGAGAUUAAGAAAUGCCUAUCUGACUAAAAAGUGAUGUGGUCUGGCAUUGGAGCUGGGCUCUGUGGCUGCUAAGAACCAUUCUUCAUUCUCAAUGACUCACUACAAAAAGCUUGGGAAAAACAUGGAGUUCCAGCACAUUUGAAUGCAUAAUUUGGCUUUGGGUAACCAGAAUGGGACAGUUUGGCUACAUAUACUCCAGUAUGAAACUCCACAGCACAAAGAUCAUUGAGUGAUACUCAGUAUCUCCAGAUAUUAAGCUCUGAAUGCCACAAGUUAGGCAUCAAAAGAGUCUUCUGAGAAAUCUGUUCUUUGUUUCCCACAUCAUCUCAGGUAACUUAGGCAUUACAAGUUUUCCCUGCCUUGGAAUGUCUCUGUGAGUCUUGGAUUAAUUCAUCAGUGACUGAAACAUCUGCAGGCCCAGCAUCUCCAUGGGAAACCAUCUCAUUUAACAUGUUUUCCAUUCUACCAUUUCAGGAUGAAGAAAAUGCUUGGAUUAUAGCAUUGUAUAAACUGAUGGAAAAGGACUGUACCUUAAACUGGAACUUGCUCUUUUUGCCUUGAAUUCCAGUGAGGACAUUAUUAAGUUACCACUAUUCUUACAGUAUUUCUGACAAUCAAAUUAGCCUAUUUGUCCAUUGCUACCUACUGCCAGCUUUCCACCUCAACCCAGUCAUGUGCAACCAUCAGGUCUACUCCAUAUAUCUGAAUUAUCUUCCUGUCAAUCCUUAACACUCUGUGUGAACAGCUUACAACAGAAGUGUAAUUAGAAAGGCAUGAGAUUGACAAAAUAUUAUGUAUGGUGUAUGAGCAAAGAAAAUGAUCUGAAAACUGACUGUUGGAAGGGAGGUCUGGAUCAAAGUAUUCUCUUUGGCAUGUGACAUACAGCUCCCUUAUUUUUAUGAAGCACUUGCCAUGUCCCUGCCAGAUGAGGACAUACUCGACAAAGACUACCAACAGAGGAAGACAUGCUGCUCAGAUAUCUGUUAGAUGCUUGGAGGUUCAGACUUCACCAUCUUCCUAUUGAGACUUUUAUAUCCCACGAACACAAAACUUCUGCAUGUUUGCUGGAGUGAGGUGUGCAGAUGUUCCCCCUGCUAGAGAAAGGAAAAUUCCUAAAGGAGAACUGCAAGAAUGGCUUCUAAUAA